GUUACCUCUUUAGUUACAGUUAUCUCCCCAUUUUGUAAAGUUUCUCUACGUAACAUUGGUUUUGAUCCCUCAGGCUUUAAAAAUCGAUACGACGAUUGUUUUAAUUCGGCAUUUCCGUUGGGCGGAGGGAGGCCCAACGGCCAAGACUAAAAUUUAAACAAAUAAGAAAAACAUUUACUGAUCUCAAUGACGAAGCUGUAGCAGUGUUUAACAGAAAUGUAUAGUUUGACAAUGAGUGAACUCGCAUUAUCGACCCCUACUAUAACUUCCCACACGUCUACCGCGAAUUAUUUUCUUGCCUGAAGGACGGCUCGUAUGAUUGAUUCUAAAGUUUGAUCACAAAUUCGUUCGUGCGUCUAGAAUAGUAGUAACGAAACGAAUCAAGUUGAGACAUCUCUUGGCGUGCAAGGACGUUAUCAGCGUUUCCCAAAUUUCCUUCCGGAUCUGUUGGGCAACACGAAAGACGGUGGGAAAACCGUGCUCUCGCAUCGUGCACGUCUUGUGUGUGACGUGUGUGCAAGUUUGUGCGUGCAAUCGCAUCUGAUGCGACGUGAAACGGAAUCCUAAAAAUACGGACGUCGACAGCCGGCCGGCCGGAAGAAUCCACUGCCAGAUUCCAUCUGCGGAAUCGAGCGGAAUUAACCCACUAUCUACACAAGGAUGUUAUCUGAAUCAUUCUUUUCUCUCUUCAAUCGAUAACGGAGAACGGAGGAGUUAAGGAGUCUAUCCAGGACGAAAUCUAUUUAUCUCUCUGUGUCGUAUAAAAUUGCCGUCCAGGGCAAUAGCGGUCUAUCGUCUUGCAAUCAAGUUUGUUGUGUCCCCAAACUGAUUGGAUACACAACACGGUGGAGUACACGAACCCUACAAGCUGACAAUGGAACACAGGCCUCAAAGCUGAUUGUAAGAUUCACCAUCCCUUAUAACAUUUCCGCCUCGAGAGAUGAUCGAGUUCUACGAGAAGUAUCAAUUGCACUAACGUUUACUGACUAGUACAAAAUAACUCACAGACACGCAAUCUUGUGUGGCGAUAUGCAAAGAGCUGAGCUGUUGAGCGGCUUGCUCUUUCUCCAUUGUACGGCGGGGUUUCCCCUGUAACGCACGUUCGUGCUAUUCUAUUGGAUAUACCAAAAAGAAAAAAGAGAGUGAACGUCGAUAGGGGAAAGUUUGUCCGGAGGGAGAUGGCAAAGAUUAUCCGCGUGACCAACUAAAGAGAAGACAAAGCUCCGGCUUUAUUACUAUAACGUGAAGUGAAAGAGUAACUCGACGACAUACAAGAUCCGGGAGAGAGAGAGAGAAAAAAAAAGGGGAUUACAAGUACAUGUCAUGUAAUAGUUUCAGGAUAAGUUUUGGAGAUAGAGAAGAAAAAAAAACAAUAACUUGUAUGUCAACGGACGACAGUCGGUUUAUUGGAUGAAACAGAAUCUCAUUGAUUCGAAACGUCAACACAAGAAAAGGAGGGUAAAAAAUCCCAACUUGACGUCAGAUCAAACAAUGGGGAAAAACGCGAGUCAAAGGCUAAGUGAAUCAAGAGACAAGAACUAUUGUACCGUGCUACACAGGAGCACAAAAUUAAUCAUCCGAGAAGGACCCAUUGCAAUAACAAUUCCAGAAAGACGAGGAAAUUAUUUUGAAUCCUUUAUAUUUUGCAGCAGACGACAUGAAUUAAUGAUUCAACUUUAAAAACAUCGUCUGAAUGAUGAAAGACUUUCAUUUUCUUUCAUGUUUGUAUUCCUGUAGAGUUAACGAUGUCGUGUAAAAUAGCAAAAGAGAAUUAAAGUCGAAAAUAAAUGUGUGUGGCCAUUAGGCAAUCAAGAA
rnacentral:lncRNA from 1 species